rnacentral:rRNA from 1 species
GACGAACGCUGGCGGCGUGCCUAAUACAUGCAAGUCGAACGCACGAAGUUGAAGAGCUUGCUCUUUAACCUAGUGAGUGGCGGACGGGUGAGUAACACGUGGGUAACCUGCCCAUUAGAGGGGGAUAACACUUGGAAACAGGUGCUAAUACCGCAUAAUUGUUUUAGCCGCAUGGCUGAGAUAUGAAAGACGCUUUCGGGUGUCACUAAUGGAUGGACCCGCGCUGCAUUAGUUAGUUGGUGAGGUAAUGGCUCACCAAGACCGUGAUGCAUAGCCGGCCUGAGAGGGUGAUCGGCCACACUGGGACUGAGACACGGCCCAG